AACACCCAGUCAAUGUGCUAGUAAUAUAUUAACGCUAGUUUUCAGUAUUGAAGAAUUAACGACUAGCACAAAAACUGGAUAUGAAGUAAUAAGAAACUAAGUAAAUUACGUGACUUAAAUAAAGAAACGAAGAGAUUGGGUAAAUUAAAAUGCCCAAAAUUGGACGAAAUAAAAUACGGUGCUUGUGAAGAUUAUUAUAUAUAUUGGAUGAAACAUAUUUAUAAACCAAAUAAAGAAGGAAAAACAUUGUUUUUGUCAGAUAUGUUGAAAUUUGAUAUUUUUGCGGGAAGAAAAAUUGCAGAAAUGAAAACCAGAGAGAAAAACAUCAAAAUUAAAAUCACGAAAACUUGUGGAAACUGAAUCAGAUGAUGAAAAAACUCGAAUGAAAAGCAUUCUGAUUCUGAUAAUGAAGUAAUUUGUGAAGCUGAAAUUAAUCAGUAUAAAAUACAUUCCGCUAAUAAGACUGAAAAACCCUCAACGGAAUUGAAACAAAUGACAAACCAAAUGAAUAUGAUACUAGAAAGGAGUAAAUAAAACUACUAAGGAGACUACUAAGGAGACUACUAAGGAGACUACUUCUACUAAUGAGACAGAUGAUGCAAUAAGUGAUACCAAUUUGAUUGGACUCCAACUAAUUCAUCGGCUUCAGAUGUUGAGGACAUCUGAAUCAAGUCUUAGAGAGAAUAGUUUAGAUGACGUUUUAAGUUUAACAAAUACUUUAAAUUUGUUACUGAAUAAAAGUUUUUUAUCAGUGUU